CCUACGGGAGGCAGCAGUGGGGAAUAUUGCACAAUGGGGGAAACCCUGAUGCAGCCAUGCCGCGUGUGUGAAGAAGGCCUUCGGGUUGUAAAGCACUUUCAGUUGUGAGGAAAAGUUAGUAGUUAAUACCUGCUAGCCGUGACGUUAACAACAGAAGAAGCACCGGCUAACUCCGUGCCAGCAGCCGCGGUAAUACGGAGGGUGCGAGCGUUAAUCGGAAUUACUGGGCGUAAAGCGCACGCAGGCGGUUUGUUAAGCUAGAUGUGAAAGCCCCGGGCUCAACCUGGGAUGGUCAUUUAGAACUGGCAGACUAGAGUACUGGAGAGGGAAGUGGAAUUCCCGGUGUAGCGGUGAAAUGCGCAGAUAUCGGGAGGAACACCAGUGGCGAAGGCGGCUUCCUGGCCAGUAACUGACGCUGAGGUGCGAAAGCUGGGGGAGCGAACCGGAUUAGAUACCCGGGUAGUCCCAGCCGUAAACGAUGAAUGCUAGGUGUUCGCAGUGCGAGCUGUGAGUGCCGCAGUUAACGCGAUAAGCAUUCCGCCUGGGGAGUACGGCCGCAAGGUUGAAACUCAAAUGAAUUGACGG
rnacentral:rRNA from 1 species